rnacentral:lncRNA from 1 species
GGCGGAGGAGAGUCGGUAAGCCAGAGGGGGCAGCGUGGCGUGCGAGGAGGAGAGGGGUUAUUUGUAGCGGCGGGUUUGGGGCUUUGGAAGCUCAAAGCAAGAGCGAGGAGCACGGCGGGCGCGUCGCGGUCGGGCGGAGCACACGAGGAAGAAGGGUACGAAGGCGUCGGGCUAACCGAUGGACGGCUCUCCUGCGUCACCGUCAUGGC